rnacentral:rRNA from 1 species
CCUACGGGGUGCUGCAGUAGGGAAUCUUCCACAAUGGGCGAAAGCCUGAUGGAGCAACGCCGCGUGGGUGAAGAAGGUCUUCGGAUCGUAAAACCCUGUUGUUAGAGAAGAAAGUGCGUGAGAGUAACUGUUCACGUUUCGAUGGUAUCUAACCAGAAAGCCACGGCUAACUACGGGCCAGCAGCCGCGGUAAUACGUAGGUGGCAAUCGUUAUCCGGAUUUAUUUGGCGUAACGGGAACGCAGGCGGGCUUUUAAGUCUGAUGUGAAAGCCUUCGGGUUAACCGGAGUAUUGCAUUGGAAACUGGGAGACUUGAGUGCAGAAGAGGAGAGUGGAACUCCAAGUGUAGCGGUGAAAUGCGUAGAUAUAUGGAAGAACACCAGUGGCGAAGGCGGCUCUCUGGUCUGUAACUGACGCUGAGGUUCGAAAGCGUGGGUAGCAAACAGGAUUAGAUACCCCUGUAGUC